CGGGUGAGUAACGCGUGGAUAACCUGCCUCACACUGGGGGAUAACAGUUAGAAAUGACUGCUAAUACCGCAUAAGCGCACAGUGCCGCGUGGUACGGUGUGAAAAACUCCGGUGGUGUGAGAUGGAUCCGCGUCUGAUUAGCCAGUUGGCGGGGUAACGGCCCACCAAAGCGACGAUCAGUAGCCGACCUGAGAGGGUGACCGGCCACAUUGGGACUGAGACACGGCCCAA
rnacentral:rRNA from 1 species